rnacentral:lncRNA from 1 species
CUUCAGCUUCAAUACAAUUCUUGGUAUCAGUAAAUGUAAGAGGAUGGAGUUUUAAGAACUUUCUAUGACAGUCUGGAUCCAUAACGACUGGUUCUAGAUUGUAUGGAGCCUGUACUGGAAGAGGGCCAAGUAUCCCUUCUCCAAGUUGGUUAACAAGCUUCUCUACCAUGUGGUAUAAUUGGUUAAUAUGCUCUUGUAAGGACAUGUAAUCGGGAGGUUACUCCAGUGGAAUCUGUUCAUGUCUCAUCUUACAACCCUUCAUUCAAAAAAGAAUGAAUUAGAACAUUUUAAAUAAUGUUUCCUGCUUCUCAACACCCCAAUAAUCCAAAAAAA